UACGGGGGGGGCAAGCGUUGUUCGGAAUUACUGGGCGUAAAGGGCUCGUAGGCGGCCAACUAAGUCAUACGUGAAAUCCCCCGGCUUAACCCGGAACUGCCGUUGAUACUAUUUGUCUUGAAUAUUGUGGAGGUAAGCGGAAUAUGUCAUGUAGCGGUGAAAUGCUUAGAUAUGACAUAGAACACCAAUUGCGAAGGCAGCUUACUACACAACGAUUGACGCUGAGGCACGAAAGCGUGGGGAUCAAACAGG
rnacentral:rRNA from 1 species